UUAAAAAAAUCAAAAGAUUUGAAAAUAAUUCAAGAUAUUUUCGCAGAUUUUGUAAAUAGGAACGAAUUUUUUCAUAAAAGUGAGAAUUUUUAAGGUAAGUUGAGGGAAAAAGCUUACUCGAUGGCUGGCAACACGGGAAAAAAAUCUGCUACGCGUAUGCGGUGACAGUUUGUUGUUGUGGUUAUCCAGUUUUUUACAACUUAAAUUUUCCGUACAAUUCUCCGAGGCUAUUACCUUAAUUAUUAUUACUAAGCUGAAGCCUAUUUUCUUCAUUGUUAAUAGACCAAACUGCAUGCUUACUGCAUUACAGAUUAGUACCUACUCAUUUUGCUCUGGCCAACUCUGGUGGCAUUGAGGUAGAGAGCUGAUAUAGACAAAACCAAGCAUCGGAAUCUGAAGCUAGGGUGUUUAAUGUAAGUUCCAAUGAAUAAUUUUAUACAAUAGAUUGUAUUUUAGUCGAGUGAUUAAUAAAUAGUUAUAUAAAAUGGUA